GCUUACGGCCAUACCAGCCUGGGUACGCCCGAUCUCGCCGAUCUCGGAAGCUAAGCAGGGUCGGGCCUGGUUAGUACUUGGAUGGGAGACCGCCUGGGAAUACCAGGUGCUGUAAGCA
rnacentral:rRNA from 1 species